rnacentral:rRNA from 1 species
UUCCGUAGGUGAACCUGCGGAAGGAUCAUUACUG